CUUUUCGCUCGCAAUUAAGAGCGAAGAUAAUAGCGAAAUAAUAAUUUAGCCGGAUUGAACAUACACGCAGCAAUGGCGUAAGACGUAAUGUUAAAUCAGGCACUUAGCGGGCUGCGGGUUGCAGCCUGGACGAUUAGACGGGAUAUGCUUUUUCUGGUGCAGUUCAGUAGCCUUUCCCUCAGAAGCGCUGUUUUUUUAACUUAAAAAGCAGGCUGCCGAUUUUGCGCCCCUGGAGCUGGCGACAACCGUGAGGUUGACGGCCUUGCAAUGAGACACGGGGCCACCGGUUUACUCUCGUCCAGCGUUACCAUGCCCGUAGCUUUGUCACUCA
rfam:Erwinia sp. EM595 isolate E_g_EM595 genome assembly, chromosome: 1